rnacentral:pre_miRNA from 1 species
AGCAGAAACAACCCCAGUGGCGGCUGCAGCUCUGGAGCCCUGGAGUCAGCUCCUGCAGUAACUACAGAGCUCUGGGUCUGCAGGGCCUGGAGGCUCUGGGGCGGG